GAUGAACGCUAGCGGGAGGCCUAACACAUGCAAGCCGAGCGGUAUUGUUUCUUCGGAAAUGUGAGAGCGGCGUACGGGUGCGUAACACGUGUGCAACCUGCCUUUAUCUGGGGGAUAGCCUUUCGAAAGGAAGAUUAAUACUCCAUAAUAUAUUGAACGGCAUCGUUUAAUAUUGAAAGCUCCGGCGGAUAGAGAUGGGCACGGGCAAGAUUAGCUAGUUGGUGAGGUAACGGCUCACCAAGGCGAUGAUCUUUAGGGGGCCUGAGAGGGUGAUCCCCCACACUGGUACUGAGACACGGACCAGACUCCUACGGGAGGCAGCAGUGAGGAAUAUUGGUCAAUGGGUGCAAGCCUGAACCAGCCAUCCCGCGUGAAGGACGACUGCCCUAUGGGUUGUAAACUUCUUUUGUAUAGGGAUAAACCUACCCUCGUGAGGGUAGCUGAAGGUACUAUACGAAUAAGCACCGGCUAACUCCGUG
rnacentral:rRNA from 1 species